GUCUAUAGCCAUGCCACCCUGAACAAGCCCGAUCCCAUCUGAUCUCGGAAGCUAAGCAGGGUCGGGCCUGUUUAAUAUUGGAUGGGAGACCACCUAGGAAGACCAGGUGCUGUAGGCA
rnacentral:rRNA from 1 species